UCCCUGGUGGCCUAGUGGUUAAAGAUCCGGCACUGUCACUGCUGUGACCUGGGUUCAGUCCCUAGCCUGGGAA
rnacentral:tRNA from 1 species